rnacentral:rRNA from 1 species
CAAGUCGAACGAAGGCCCUAGCUUGCUAGGUGUCCUUAGUGGCGCACGGGUGAGUAACACGUGGGAACAUACCUCAUAGUACGGAAUAACUGCGGGAAACUGUAGCUAAUACCGUAUACUCCAGUAAUGGGAAAGAUUUAUCGCUAUGAGAUUGGCCCGCGCAAGAUUAGUUUGUUGGUAAGGUAAUGGCUUACCAAGGCUACGAUCUUUAGCUGGUUUGAGAGGAUGAUCAGCCACACUGGGACUGAGACACGGCCCAGACUCCUACGGGAGGCAGCAGUAGGGAAUAUUGGACAAUGGGGGAAACCCUGAUCCAGCAAUGCAGCGUGAGUGACGAAGGCCUUAGGGUUGUAAAACUCUUUCAUUGGUGAGGAUAAUGACAGUAACCGAAGAGGAAGGACCGGCUAAUUCCGUGCCAGCAGCCGCGGUAAUACGGAAGGUCCUAGCGUUGUUCGGAAUUACUGGGCGUAAAGCGCAUGUAGGCGGAACAGAAAGUUAGAAGUGAAAUCCCUGGGCUCAACCUAGGAAUUGCUUUUAAAACUUCUGUUCUGGAAUUAAGGAGAGGAAAAUGGAAUAUCCAGUGUAGAGGUGAAAUUCGUAGAUAUUGGAUGGAACACCAGUGGCGAAGGCGAUUUUCUGGACUUGUAUUGACGCUGAGAUGCGAAGGCAUGGGUAGCAAACGGGAUUAGAUACCC